rnacentral:rRNA from 1 species
UACGUAGGGGGCGAGCGUUGUCCGGAUUUAUUGGGCGUAAGGAGCUCGUAGGCGGUUCGAUAAGUCGGACGUGAAAUCUCCACGCUCAACGUGGAGGGGCCGUUCGAUACUGUCGUGACUCGAGUCCGGUAGGGGAGUGUGGAAUUCCUGGUGUAGCGGUGAAAUGCGCAGAUAUCAGGAGGAACACCGGUGGCGAAGGCGGGUCUCUGGGCCGUAACUGACGCUGAGGAGCGAAAGCAUGGGGAGCGAACAGG